GCCGCGUUGGCUCAGUGGGAGAGCGUCUCACUCGUAUCGUCUUCGAUGGAAUCGACACGACUUGUACAUGAGAAGGUCACUCGUUCAAUCCGGGUACGCGGCA